UAGCGCCAUCUGCUGGCCGCGCUGCCUUCUGCUCCUCCCGCCGCCGCCCUGAGUCACUGCCUGCGCAGCUCCGGCCGCCUGGCUCCCCGUGCUAGCCACCGGUAUUUGGCGUUCAUACAACAUGGCAGACAUCAACAACAAAGAACAGUCUGAACUUGAUCAAGAUUUGGAUGAUGCUGAAGAAGUAGAAGAAGAAGAAACUGGUGAAGAAACAAAAAUCAAAGCGCGUCAGCUGACUGUUCAGAUGAUGCAAAAUCCUCAGAUUCUUGCAGCCUUUCAAGAAAGACUUGAUGGUCUCGUAGAAACACCAACAGGAUACAUUGAAAGCUUGCCUAGGGUAGUUAAAAGACAUGUGAAUGCUCUCAAAAACCUUCAAGUUAAAUGUGCACAGACAGAAGCCAAGUUCUAUGAGGAAGUUCAUGAUCUUGAAAGAAAGUAUGCUGUUCUCUAUCAACCUCUAUUUGAGAAGCGAUUUGAGAUCAUUAAUGCCAUUUAUGAACCUACAGAAGAAGAAUGUGAACGGAAACCGGAUGAGGAAGAUGAAAUUUCGGAGGAGCUAAAAGAAAAGGCCAAGACUGAAGAUGAGAAAAAGGAUGAAGAAAAAGAAGACCCCAAAGGAAUUCCUGACUUUUGGUUGACCGUUUUUAAGAAUGUUGACUUGCUCAGUGACAUGGUUCAGGAACAUGAUGAACCUAUUCUGAAGCACUUGAAAGACUGAAGUGAAGUUCUCAGAUGCUGGUCAGCCUAUGAGUUUUGUCUUAGAAUUUCACUUUGAACCCAAUGAAUAUUUCACAAAUGAAGUGUUGACAAAGACAUAUAGGAUGAGGUCAGAACCAGGUGAUUCUGAUCCUUUUUCUUUUGAUGGACCAGAAAUUAUGGGUUGUACAGGGUGCCAGAUAGACUGGGAAAAAGGGAAGAAUGUCACUUUGAAAACCAUUAAGAAGAAGCAGAAACACAAGGGACGUGGGACAGUUUGUACUGUGACCAAAACAGUUUCUAAUGACUCUUUCUUUAAUUUUUUUGCCCCUCCUGAAGUUCCUGAGAGUGGAGAUCUGGGUGGUGAUGCUGAAGCUAUCCUUGCUGUGGACUUUGAAAUUGGUCACUUUUUACGUGAGUGCAUAAUCCCAAGAUCAGUGUUAUACUUUACUGGAGAAGCUAUUGAAGAUGAUGAUGAUGAUUAUGAUGAAGAUGAUGAAGAAGCGGAUGAGGAAGGGGAAGAAGAAGGAGAUGAGGAAAAUGAUCCAGACUAUGACCCAAAGAAGGAUCAAAACCCAGCAGAGUGCCAGCAGCAGUGAAGCAAGAUGUAUGUGGCCUUGAGGAUAACCUGCACUGUAAUAGCCUAAACACAGCUAUUAUUUACUUAUAGCCUUAUGUUUGUGUAUUUUCUUGGUAGACUCAAGUUUUUUUUUUAAAGGAAAGGAACUGAUAUUUUAAAGACCAAAUUUGUCCUACUUAGCAUUUUAACUAGUUUUUCUGCCAGAUACAUUGAAUGCACAAAUUCUCUCACGCAUGUUUGUUCAUUGCUACAUAUUUGGUUCUUCCUGGAGUAUUUUUAUCUUGUAACUAUUAGAUUACAGUUAUGAAAAUGAACAGAACUGUGAAAUGAACCAGAUUUUUUGUCUUGCUAAUUUUUUUCCUGAAGAACCAAAGUAUUUUUUCAGCGGGUAGUUGAAUGGGUUUAAGUUCGCUUGCACUAGCUGUGCCUUUCAUUACUUUGUUACAGAAAUACAGUGACUUAUACUAAGACAAUUCAUCAUUUAAAAAACAACACUUGUCAAGACAAGUAUAUGGUUAAGAAUUUCCAGUAAGACCACACCUGAUAACUUAGAUUGUUAAUGGAUUUUUGUAUUUCAGGUGACAGUUACUAUAAAGAAAUCUUAUUAACUAAUAGUAUGGUUAUUGGUUACGACAGGGAGGUGAAUAAAACCUAGUAUUU